rnacentral:rRNA from 1 species
UGGGGAAUAUUGCGCAAUGGGCGAAAGCCUGACGCAGCGACGCCGCGUGAGGGAAGAAGGUCUUCGGAUCGUAAACCUCUGUCAGGAGGGAAGAAGGUUCAUAUUGCUAAUCAGGUAUGAAUUGACGGUACCUCCAGAGGAAGCACCGGCUAACUCCGUGCCAGCAGCCGCGGUAAUACGGAGGGUGCAAGCGUUAAUCGGAAUUACUGGGCGUAAAGCGCUCGUAGGUAGUAUAUCAAGUCAAGGGUGAAAUCCCCGCGCUCAACGUGGGAACUGCCUUUGAAACUGGUAGACUUGAGUGUGUGAGAGGAUAGUGGAAUUCCAGGUGUAGGAGUGAAAUCCGUAGAUAUCUGGAGGAACAUCAGUGGCGAAGGCGACUAUCUGGCACAUAACUGACACUGAGGAGCGAAGCGUGGGUAGCAAACAGGAUUAGAUACC